CCUACGGGAGGCAGCAGUGAGGAAUAUUGGUCAAUGGACUCAAGUCUGAACCAGCCAUGCCGCGUGCAGGAAGACGGCUCUAUGAGUUGUAAACUGCUUUUGUACGAGGGUAAACGCAGAUACGCGUAUCUGUCUGAAAGUAUCGUACGAAUAAGGAUCGGCUAACUCCGUGCCAGCAGCCGCGGUAAUACGGAGGAUUCAAGCGUUAUCCGGAUUUAUUGGGUUUAAAGGGGGCGUAGGCGGUCGGAUAAGUUAGAGGUGAAAUCCCGAGGCUCACAUUCGGAAUUGCCUCUAAUACUGUUGAUCUAGAGAGUAGAUGCGGUAGGCGGAAUGCAUGGUGUAGCGGUGAAAUGCUUAGAGAUCAUACAGAACACCGAUUGCGAAGGCAGCUUACCAAUCUAUAUCUGACGUUGAGGCACGAAAGCGUGGGUAGCAAACAGGAUUAGAUACCCCAGUAGUC
rnacentral:rRNA from 1 species